rnacentral:rRNA from 1 species
UACGAGGGGCGCAAGCGUUGUUCGGAUUUACUGGGCGUAAAGGGCGCGUAGGCGGUCGUGACAAGUCACUUGUGAAAUCUCCGGGCUUAACUCGGAACGGUCAAGUGAUACUGUCGGACUAGAGUACAGAAGGGGCAACUGGAAUUCUCGGUGUAGCGGUGAAAUGCGUAGAUAUCGAGAGGAACACCUGCGGCGAAGGCGGGUUGCUGGGCUGAUACUGACGCUGAUGCGCGAAAGCCAGGGGAGCGAACGGG